GAUGAACGCUGGCGGCGUGCCUAAUACAUGCAAGUCGAGCGAACAGAUGAGGAGCUUGCUCCUUCGACGUUAGCGGCGGACGGGUGAGUAACACGUGGGUAACCUACCUAUAAGACUGGGAUAACUUCGGGAAACCGGAGCUAAUACCGGAUAAUAUUUCGAACCGCACGGUUCUAUAGUGAAAGAUGGCUUUGCUAUCACUUAUAGAUGGACCUGCGCCGUAUUAGCUAGUUGGUAAGGUAACGGCUUACCAAGGCAACGAUACGUAGCCGACCUGAGAGGGUGAUCGGCCACACUGGAACUGAGACACGGUCCAGACUCCUACGGGAGGCAGCAGUAGGGAAUCUUCCGCAAUGGGCGAAAGCCUGACGGAGCAACGCCGCGUGAGUGAUGAAGGUCUUCGGAUCGUAAAACUCUGUUAUUAGGGAAGAACAAACGUGUAAGUAACUGUGCACGUCUUGACGGUACCUAAUCAGAAAGCCACGGCUAACUACGUG
rnacentral:rRNA from 1 species